rnacentral:snoRNA from 1 species
AACCCAUGAUGAGGGAACCUUCUCAAUAAAUCAUUAUACCUUUUUCAUGCAUCAUAUAAGGUUUCUAAGUCGAUUUGAACAAAGGAAGAGAUAUCAUUCCUCAACUU